CUGAGGGAGACUCGGGGCUGUGGAGCUGGUUACCGUGCUUCUCAUGAGAGAAGCCCUCGACACCAGGCUGCCUCCCCUCGAACCCGUGUCCCUGGCAAGAAGCCUUCCUGCAGGGCUGCCAGCGCUAAUUAGCAUUAACAGGGCUGCCUGCCAAACUCCCUCACUGCCUCAAAGCGUGGGACAGCUUCUCUGCUUAGAAGGAGGUUUUGGUCAUGGCUGCGUUGGGGCCUCCAUAAAUCACUGGAUCUAAACUCCUUGGAGAAGCAGUUAAGACAAGUUUCCUAAUUUCGUCCUUUUCUGGCAGCUACAGCAUUGCACUUUCCCCCUUUCCUUAAAAAAAUAUCAACCAAUGCCUAAAGAACAGAGAGGGCUUUAUUGUUACUCGGCCACUGCUCCUGAUCCUUAUCAACAGCUCUCCGAGAAAGGCCCUCCAAAAUCUCACCGCAGCAUCUUCAUUUACUGAAAUACCCUUUCCCGGGAUUUUUGUGUCACGUCAGCUCAAAUGGAAACAUUGCUGAAGCUGCUUUGAUUCUGAGCUUGUUCCGCUGGGUCAGUGAUGAGAUUGCUUCGUUCACCUGAUGGAAAUCCUAUAAGCCUCCGGCUCGGGGGGCAGGUUUCCUGCGGAACCACGUGGAUGGAUGUAAUGAUCCACAGUGUGCAUCUUGUUGUGUGUGGAGCUGCUUUUAAAACAGCAAGCUGUUGGUUUUUCCUCCCUGCUACCAUCACCCAGAGCCAGAGGGUGUGGGGAAAUAAGCAUUUUAAUGCACUGUUGGAGAGAAAAUAAAUCAUUUCACACUUUUCUGAAAUGAAUUUUGCAACACAUUUUGAGGUUGAGAAAUGUUUGUAUUCAUUUACUUGUUCAUCUCUUCUCUGGAAACACAUUCUGAGG
ensembl:lncRNA